UUGGAAGCCCUGGAGAUGCAGCUCUUUAUUCUCAACAGGAGACUUUGAGAAGGGGCAGCAGCAACCCAAGUUUCCCCACAGAGGCCCAUCAAUGUGCCUCAUGCCUGGCCUGGAGGAAUCAUUUCUAGGAGGUGAAUGGGUAGUUGAGUUUCCAUGCCAAUGCCUUCCUUGGGGUCU
rnacentral:sRNA from 1 species